GAAGGAAAAUAAAUUAGGGAUGACCAUAUCAGUUCCCCCCCCCAAGAAAUCAACUGUCCAGCAUUUCACCCAAAUGCCGGCCCCUUAAAAGGCUUAUCCCUUAUUCCAGUUACCUCAGCCACUGCUUCCUCAAGCCAACCCUUUACAGUGGCGUGUCAGUCCCCACCUCCAAGGCAAGCUACCCAUCCAGAACACCCCCAAUUGCUAACCUUCAUUAAAUGCUCUAAAAACCUUAUUCAGCAAGUAGUCGUAAACUCUGAUACAACCACCUCCAUGUCAGUUUCGCCCAUACCUUCUAUUCAAUCCACACUUCCCAAUUCAAAUCAUAUUUUCGAAAAUAGAGUCCCGUAAGUCUUUCAUCCUCUAUGAUUGCUGUCCCCGCUAUAUCACUAGCAGCCACGGAAAAGAGAAAGAGAAAUGACCCAGCAAAGCAGAACAGUAACGAGGCAGAACCAACAGCGUCGAAAGGAGAGCAAAAGAAAGGAGGAAGAUAUGGUGUGACAUCUGACACCAGAGAGCUGCCUUCCGGGUCUGGGGCUUUAAUUGUGGGCUCUAAGAGAUCUUGGCCCAAUGUAAUAUCCCACUCAUAAGACACAAGAGUAAGCCCACUACCUCUAAGAUCUUGGAGUGACAGAAAGAACCUCUUCCAACCAACUUUAGCCCACUUAAAUACUAAGAGAUCAAAAAUUUUGGACCCAGAUGUAAUUGAGCCACGACCCUUUGAUUUCUUGGUUCAUUGGGCCAGUAGUCUUUAUAAACCUGAAUCUAUAAUCUCAGGCCCAACUCCAAAGGAAAUUGUUUCUAUCCUCAACUUUGAAAAACCAGGAAAAGUCCUCCACAACAAGCCAUCAAGCGUAGCCCAUACUGAAUUGAAAACACAGUUGACUCCAUUGAUCAGUUCCUCUCCCACAAUCACAGGAGUUGACGGGGACAAAGGAAAAUGUACUCAGUCUCCCACAACAGUCUCUACCAAGCAUAAGUGGAAAAGGAGCGCUCGAGGGGAAAGUGCUCUGAGUUCAUAUAAGGUGGCAAGCAGAGAAGAGGCUUUGGCAUUGGACAGUGAUUUACAUCCUUGCACUUCACUAACUAUUGAAGAUAGUAAAAAAAGAGCAGUAUCUCCUCGCAGCAUUUGUGCUUCUGAGGCCUCGGUGGCUGGCCAAAAGCCACCCACCCAGCCAUGACAUUCAUAGCUUGGAAUUGCCAGGGGUUUGGGCAACCCCAGGCAAUUCGGGCUCUACGAGAGGUCACUCAGAAACAUCGCCCCUCCAUUGUUUUUUUAAUGGAGACAAAGCAGACACAGUUUUUCUUGGAAAGAUUCA
rnacentral:misc_RNA from 1 species